rnacentral:tRNA from 1 species
GGCCCCAUCGUCUAGCGGUCUAGGACACUGGCCUCUCACGCCAGAAACACGGGUUCGAGUCCCGUUGGGGUCA